rnacentral:rRNA from 1 species
GGUUAAGUGAAUAAGGGCGCACGGUGGAUGCCUUGGCACUAGGAGCCGAUGAAGGACGGGACUAACACCGAUAUGCUUUGGGGAGCUGUAAGUAAGCUAUGAUCCAGAGAUUUCCGAAUGGGGGAACCCAAUAUCUUUUAUAGGAUAUUACUUUUCAGUGAAUACAUAGCUGAUUAGAGGUAGACGCAGAGAACUGAAACAUCUUAGUACCUGCAGGAAGAGAAAGAAAAUUCGAUUCCCUGAGUAGCGGCGAGCGAAACGGGAAGAGCCCAAACCAACAAGCUUGCUUGUUGGGGUUGUAGGACUCCAAUAUGGUAGUCUGUUAGUAUAGUUGAAGGAUUUGGAAAAUUCCGCUAAAGAGGGUGAAAGCCCCGUAGACGAAAUGCUGACAACACCUAGGAGGAUCCUGAGUACGGCGGAACACGAGAAAUUCCGUCGGAAUCCGCGGGGACCAUCCCGCAAGGCUAAAUACUCCCUAGUGACCGAUAGUGAACCAGUACCGUGAGGGAAAGGUGAAAAGCACCCCGGAAGGGGAGUGAAAUAGAUCCUGAAACCGUGUGCCUACAACAAGUCAAAGCUCGUUAAUGAGUGAUGGCGUGCCUUUUGUAGAAUGAACCGGCGAGUUACGAUUGCAUGCGAGGUUAAGUCGAAGAGACGGAGCCGCAGCGAAAGCGAGUCUGAAUAGGGCGAAUAAGUAUGUAGUCGUAGACCCGAAACCAUGUGAUCUACCCAUGUCCAGGUUGAAGGUGCGGUAAAACGCACUGGAGGACCGAACCCACGUACGUUGAAAAGUGCGGGGAUGAGGUGUGGGUAGCGGAGAAAUUCCAAACGAACUUGGAGAUAGCUGGUUCUCUCCGAAAUAGCUUUAGGGCUAGCCUCGGAAUUGAGAAUGAUGGAGGUAGAGCACUGUUUGGACUAGGGGCCCAUCUCGGGUUACCGAAUUCAGAUAAACUCCGAAUGCCAUUCAUUUAUAUCCGGGAGUCAGACUGCGAGUGAUAAGAUCCGUAGUCGAAAGGGAAACAGCCCAGACCACCAGCUAAGGUCCCAAAAUAUAUGUUAAGUGGAAAAGGAUGUGGGGUUGCACAGACAACUAGGAUGUUGGCUUAGAAGCAGCCACCAUUUAAAGAGUGCGUAAUAGCUCACUAGUCGAGUGACCCUGCGCCGAAAAUGUACCGGGGCUAAACAUAUUACCGAAGCUGUGGACUACACCAUUAGGUGUAGUGGUAGGAGAGCGUUCUAAGGGCGUUGAAGGUCGAUCGUGAGGACGGCUGGAGCGCUUAGAAGUGAGAAUGCCGGUAUGAGUAGCGAAAGACAGGUGAGAAUCCUGUCCACCGUAUGACUAAGGUUUCCUGGGGAAGGCUCGUCCGCCCAGGGUUAGUCGGGACCUAAGCCGAGGCCGAUAGGCGUAGGCGAUGGACAACAGGUUGAUAUUCCUGUACCAGUUGUUUUUGUUUGAGCAAUGGAGGGACGCAGUAGGCUAAGGAAUGCAUGCGAUUGGAAGUGCAUGUCCAAGCAAUGAGUCUUGAGUAGAGUUAAAUGCUUUACUCUUUAAGGACAAGUUGUGACGGGGAGCGAAAUAAUAGUAGCGAAGUUCCUGAUGUCACACUGCCAAGAAAAGCUUCUAGUGAGAAAACAACUGCCCGUACCGUAAACCGACACAGGUAGUCGAGGAGAGUAUCCUAAGGUGAGCGAGCGAACUCUCGUUAAGGAACUCGGCAAAAUGACCCCGUAACUUCGGGAGAAGGGGUGCUGACUUCGGUCAGCCGCAGUGAAUAGGCCCAAGCGACUGUUUAUCAAAAACACAGGUCUCUGCAAAAUCGUAAGAUGAAGUAUAGGGGCUGACGCCUGCCCGGUGCUGGAAGGUUAAGAGGAUGGGUUAGCUUCGGCGAAGCUCAGAAUUGAAGCCCCAGUAAACGGCGGCCGUAACUAUAACGGUCCUAAGGUAGCGAAAUUCCUUGUCGGGUAAGUUCCGACCCGCACGAAAGGCGUAACGAUUUGGGCACUGUCUCAACGAGAGACUCGGUGAAAUUUUAGUACCUGUGAAGAUGCAGGUUACCCGCGACAGGACGGAAAGACCCCAUGGAGCUUUACUGUAGUUUGAUAUUGAGUGUUUGUACCACAUGUACAGGAUAGGUAGGAGCCGAUGAGACCGGAACGCUAGUUUCGGAGGAGGCGCUGGUGGGAUACUACCCUUGUGUUAUGAACCCUCUAACCCGCACCACUAAUCGUGGUGGGAGACAGUGUCAGAUGGGCAGUUUGACUGGGGCGGUCGCCUCCUAAAAGGUAACGGAGGCGCCCAAAGGUUCCCUCAGAAUGGUUGGAAAUCAUUCGAAGAGUGUAAAGGCAGAAGGGAGCUUGACUGCGAGACCUACAAGUCGAGCAGGGACGAAAGUCGGGCUUAGUGAU